GAUGAAGAACGCAGCGAAAUGCGAUAAGUAAUGUGAAUUGCAGAAUUCAGUGAAUCAUCGAGUCUUUGAACGCACAUUGCGCCCCCUGGUAUUCCGGGGGGCAUGCCUGUCCGAGCGUCAUUGCUGCCCUCAAGCUCAGCUUGGUGUUGGGCCCCGCCGCCCCGGCGGGCCCUAAAGUCAGUGGCGGUGCCGUCCGGCUCCGAGCGUAGUAAUUCUUCUCGCUCUGGAGGUCCGGUCGUGUGCUCGCCAGCAACCCCCAAUUUUUUUCAGGUUGACCUCGGAUCAGGUAGGGAUACCCGCUGAACUUAAGCAUAUCAAUAAGCGGAGGA
rnacentral:misc_RNA from 1 species